UAUUGAAAAUAUUAUCAAUAAGAUUUAUCAGCAUUUUCAUAUCUACACAGUUCGCUCUGAAAAACUAAAGGAGUAUUGUGAAUUUGCUGAGGUUGAGUACAGGAAGCUUCUCUCUCAUAGUAAGAGUCGUUGGCUGUCACUAUUUCCUGGCAUCACAAGGCUGAUAGAGAUGUUUCCUGCUCUUAAGUCCUUUCUUUCACAAGAGCAACCACCAACAGUAAUAAAAAAAUUCUUUGAAAAUGAAAUGAGUGAGAUUUACCUCUGGCACAUGCACUCUUUAAUGGCUGUAUUUCACACACACGUUCAAACAAUUGAAAAGGAAAGUAACUCUGUUGUAGAAGUGCUGACAAAUUUGGAGUCUGUGUGUAAAGUACUUGCACAAAGAAAGAACCAGCAUUUCAUGUCUUUAAAAGUUAAAGGACUAAUUACUCAGAAGCGCACAGAAGGAAAAGAAGAAGAGUGUAACAGGUUCUGUGUUGAAGUAGUUAACCUGUACAACAGAUGCUCAGAGUACUUAGCUAAGUGGAUGAAACCACUGGAAGAGUUCUCUUGUUUCAAGUGGAUGGUCUUGAGUGAAAUGCCAAACUGGACUGAUGUGGAACCUUGUGUUGUAUACUUGAUAGACAAGGGAAUAGAGCUUGAUGAUGUAAAGUGCUUUGACCAAGUUUGUAACUUGAGGCAGUUUGUAGAAAGGAACAAGAAUGAUGAAGACUUCAGUAAAUUACCAGCACAUAAAAAAUGGACCAGAUACUUUGAAGCAUCAAAGAAUAUUGAAUGCCACUCAGAACUGCUCAGAAUUGCACAAUUCUUUUUUGCUGUAACAUCCCACAAUGCUAAUGUGGAGCGAGUCUUUUCGCUGAUGCAAAGUCAGCGGACGAAGGAAAGGAACAAGCUGAGUGUUGAUACAAUGAAAGGUAUUCUGACUGUACAGUACAACUACCGAGAGACCUCUUGCGUUGACUUCCUCAACUUUUUAAAGUCCAACAAGGAACUACUUAAAAAUAUAAGAUCUACAGAAAAAUAUGUAUCGGCACAUCAAGCAACACACGCAGUGGUUGAAGAAGAGUUAGAAGACACCAACUAAGCUAAGUGGAAAAACGGAAUUCAAGAUUAUCAGCCAUAUGCAAAGGUGAUUGCAGUGGCUCCAAGUCUUGGGAAAACCAUGUGUGGAGCACAAGCAGUCUGUCCACACUGAAAAUUUUGAGCUCAAGCAUACCAGCAGCACAACACAUCUGCUGAACAAUGCAGCUCCAAUUCCUGCAGAUAAACGAACUUCAGGCACAUACCACAGAGCAUUUCUGUGACUACACAACUGUGUUAUAACUGACUGAAUUGUGGUAAAGUGGCUUACAGCAGGAAAGGAAACACAACCGGCACAUCUGAGUCAAGCAUGUUAACCGAUGUGAUGAGCAAUGUGAACAAGUAUUUUAAGAUGUUUUUGGCAAGGAAAAGAUGUGGUGGGAAUAAUGACUGUAUAUAAGGUUUAUAAUUACUGUUAAUCACUUACUUGAAGAGGACAGUUGUUGUGGGU